UUUUUUUGUCACAUGAUUUUCAUAAUUUUAUAUUACAAAUUUAUCGUCUGUUAAUUGAUUUUGGAUUUUGUUUGUUAAUUUAUUUCGCUGGUUAUUUUAUGAUUCAUUGAUUAUUGUUAAUUUAUUUGGUUUGUGUGUCUUCUUAUGCUUUCAGUUGAAAAUGUAGUUUUAAUUUUUAUGGAAGUGCAACUAACGUAAGAUUGUUUGAUUAGUCUUGAUGGUUAUUUUGCCUGAGAUGAAGUCAAGAGUUUAUUCAAUGGAAAUUGGUUGACUCGAUUAUUGGUGAUGUAUUUUUGAUUAAUUGGAGUUGUCAUUGUUUACUGGAACAUUGAAUCAAUUAUGGAUAUCUUUUGGCAACUAUGGAAUUGUGUAUGACAAGAAUAUCGUAAAUGGAAUCAAUGGUGAAAAUUGUUGAAUUGCUGUUUUUUUUCGCUCUCCUUGCUCUUUUUGGGUCCAACAUCUUGUUCACCUUGUUAAAAAUAUGGAUUUUGGUUAAAGAUGGAAAUGUAUUUAUUUUGUUUAUCCGUCUAUCCAGAGUGUAUUUCAAUCAUUUAUUGGAAAAGCAAAAGUGAUAAAGCAAAAGACAAGUCUAAAAAUGUCAACAUCUUACUUGAGGGGAAAACAGCGAGACAAAGAUGUAAAAAUAAUGUAAAAGAUCAAAAUUGUUUACUGUUGUCUAGGAAAGCGUGAAACCUGAGAUUGAUUCCCAUUCCAUUUGAAAUCCAUGAAGGUUGCUUCCCAAAAACCUUAAGCUUAACAUUUUGUUCACUGUUUCAGCUUAUCUUCACAACCAUUUUGCUCUUGCUUUACUUUUCAUCAUCUUAUAUCAUCAUGCUCAUCAUCAUCAUACUCACUACAAGUUAUCCUUUUGCUUCAACUCCCAGUAGCUUCUGGUUCUUUUGAUGAAAUAACAAGACAGAAUUAAGGUGUUAAAGAUGAACAAAAAUAGUGGAAACAACAACAAACAGAUGAAAAGCAAACCAAGUGACCAAGCAAAAGGAGGAAAAGGCAAAAUUUGAUAUGAGAUUCGUUAUAAAGUAUGGACCGAGUUUUACCAGGAUGGAGGAAAAUUUCAGCCUUUUUUUCCCUUGAGUCAAACAAGAAUAAUCUUGAUUACAUUGAGAAUACUUUUCUAUGUAUACAAACUGAAUGGUGAACAUUUCCAAUGCACUUUAUACGCUCUCUUUUAUCUCUUGUGGUUACCAUCAUCCUCAAGUCAAACCGGUCUAAUCUUGGGUUUGUGAUCCAUUCUUUUAACCAAAAAAUGAAGGCCAAAGAAUGGAAAAAGAUAAAAAGAUGAAAAAAAGAUGAGAACCUUGAGUUGGCAUCAUAUUUCACAUUACAAUCCAAUCCAAAUGCUUCCGGGACUCUUCUUUAGUUUCCUUUAUUUCCAUCAUCAUCUCAUUCUGGAUCUUCACCAUCUUUCAUCGUUUUUCAUCAUUUUAUUCAUCGUCAUCAGUAUAAUCACAUUCUUACUUUUGUCUGUCCAAAUUUCCCUUUUACCCUGUUUGCCUUCAAAAAUUCAAGAAGAGGAUAAAACUGUGAAUUCAAUGAUGAUGAUGGUAAUAAUAAUGAUAAUAAUGGUGAUAAAAAAUGUUAAUGUUGACGAUGAGUUAAAUGUGUUAUCAAAAAAAGAGAGUAAACCAUUCAACGAACAAGCUUAGGAAAGCUUUUUGUACAGCAAUAGUUUUGAUUACCAAUUAACAGUUUCUUGUAAUACAACAAAUCGACUGUUUGCAUAGCUUAAUCAAUCCACCCUGAGAGUUAGAAUGUUUAAUUUAGCAAAUUUCAUCUCUUAUCUUGAGAAGGCAAAUCAUUUGACUGUCUAUUAUCAUUACCGUUCAACUUUACUUGUUUUCCUUGUUGAUACAGGUGAAAAUAAUUCAUGUCAAGAAUAAAAUCAUCUUUAAGUUGAAGGUGUAUUUAAUAGAAGGAUAAUGCUAAAAAAAGAAGGUGAAAAUAAACGGAAAAAGAUGAGCAAAUCAGUAAAUGAAAGGAUUUUGUGUUUCAACAUCUUUUCAUUCCAGUUUCAUCAAAGCUCAAUUUGACUCAUCUCGUCAUUUUCAUUUUUCAUCAUGAAAGUGGAAAAACUCUCAACAAAAAGCUCCAUCCUUUCAUCUCAUUGUUUCCAGCAUGAAACACACAUUAAACAACAACUCGAUUCCAUCUCCUGCUCAUUAUCACACUCAUCAUCAUCACCAUCCUUUUUAAAACCAAAACCAUUCUCAGUUAAUAUUUAUUUUGGUCGAUCAUAAUUACAUCUUCCUCAUGAGGUUCUGGGCUUGAUUUUCAAGCUUAUCUCAGGAACACAACUUGAUGAGAGUUUAAACAAGUAAACUUGAAACCAUGGAAGUGAUGGCAAAAAAAUGGAAACAGAAGCAAAAGGAUUUUUUUUCUUCGUCAGAGAAUGGAAAAGGAAAAAAGAAAGUGCAACAACAAAAGUUCAUCAAAUGUUCAUCAAAUGUUGAUCAACUUGGGAAAGAGAGGAAAAUGGACAAAGCAAGGAUUGAACAAUUUAACAGCAUUUAAUGAAACUUGGCAAGUCUUUACCGUUUUCACUGUCGAUUAAUUUUUUUCACUCCUAAACCAACGAAAAAAAUGAUCUCAAUUGGACCAUAAUUGGAAUUUGGAAAUGUCUUGAUAAAUCUUUUUCUCACUCCCAGUCAAUCUAAUAUCCAUCUAAUGCUACUUAUCAGUAAAGAUGUAAUAUUAUAGAUAAAAAGUUAUAUAUUUAUUAUUUUGUCAGUUGAAGUCACUCCCAGUUUACCAGCUAAAUAUUAUCUUCAUAUUGGUCUUGUCCGAACAACUUGGAUAUAACAUUUCGUUGAGUGUUUUGUUUCAUUGAACCAGGUCAAUGGAAAGGAGAGAGAGAGAAAAGAGAAAGAUGGAAAUUCCGUUGGAAUGAACAUGCUCAGAUAAUUGAUUGCAACAGCAGAUACACUUCAACAGAUAAAAGUUCAACUUCUCAUGACCUUUGAAUAACUACUUUUUUCUCUGCUGAACUUCUUUUCUCUGUUUUCUCUCUUUUUCCUUGCUACUGCUUUUGCCUUGUUAUGCUUUUAGCAAGGAAACAGAAUUAUCAUAACAGAACAAAAGAGAUGAUAAAAUCUCAUGAUAACUUUUCUGUGUUCAUCUUUUAACACACAAAGUGUUAUCAAUAUUUUUCCAUUAACAGUAAAACUUGAAUCAGCAAACUUGAUUCAUUGCAACUCAAAUUAUUAUCACAAUCAACUUGAAUCAAUUAGAUUUACCAAUUAACUUUUUUUCCCCAUUCAAAUUAGCCUUUCACUUGUAUUUUUGCUCUUCACUUUCUGUUGGGAUUUUCAUCUUUUUUUUUCAUCAACAACUUUAUCCUUUUGUUAAUAACGCAAGUUUUAAUCAUGAAUAAUGAUGAGAAUGAUUUAUUAACUGAAACUUGUAUGUUAAUCAAAAAUUUUGCCCUCAAAAAAUGGUGACAAUGUUAAGUAACAAUUAUGAUAUUCAAUUAUUAUGAUAAUAUUGAAAUGAGUUAUCAUUGAGAAGCGACACAAAAGUAUAUUUUUCAAACCAAUUUGUGCCUUUUUUUAUAAAUUUAAUAACCUGAGAAGCAAAAAAAUGUGUUCAAUAAUCAAAUGUCAAUUUGUCAAAUGUUCAAUUACGGUGAAGAUUGUAGCAUCAGUUGACGGUGAAAAAAAGGUGAAGUUGAAUAUCGCUUUGAAUUUUAUGAUGAACAAGAAAAAGCUUAACUUGAAUUUAAUAGAAACAAAACCUUUAAAAGAAUCAAAUAAUAUUUUUCUUUUUUCUCUCCUUU